GUGCUGUGAGCUCGAUGAGUAGGGCGGGACACGUGGUAUCCUGUCUGAAUAUGGGGGGACCAUCCUCCAAGGCUAAAUACUCCUGACUGACCGAUAGUGAACCAGUACCGUGAGGGAAAGGCGAAAAGAACCCCGGCGAGGGGAGUGAAAAAGAACCUGAAACCGUGUACGUACAAGCAGUGGGAGCACCCUUUGGGUGUGACUGCGUACCUUUUGUAUAAUGGGUCAGCGACUUAUAUUCUGUAGCAAGGUUAACCGAAUAGGGGAGCCGGAGGGAAACCGAGUCUUAACCGGGCGUUAAGUUGCAGGGUAUAGACCCGAAACCCGGUGAUCUAGCCAUGGGCAGGUUGAAGGUUGGGUAACACUAACUGGAGGACCGAACCGACUAAUGUUGAAAAAUUAGCGGAUGACCUGUGGCUGGGGGUGAAAGGCCAAUCAAACCGGGAGAUAGCUGGUUCUCCCCGAAAGCUAUUUAGGUAGCGCCUCGUGAAUUCAUCUCCGGGGGUAGAGCACUGUUUCGGCUAGGGGGCCAUCCCGGCUUACCAACCCGAUGCAAACUGCGAAUACCGGAGAAUGUUAUCACGGGAGACACACGGCGGGUGCUAACGUCCGUCGUGAAGAGGGAAACAACCCAGACCGCCAGCUAAGGUCCCAAAGUCAUGGUUAAGUGGGAAACGAUGUGGGAAGGCCCAGACAGCCAGGAUGUUGGCUUAGAAGCAGCCAUCAUUUAAAGAAAGCGUAAUAGCUCACUGGUCGAGUCGGCCUGCGCGGAAGAUGUAACGGGGCUAAACCAUGCACCGAAGCUGCGGCAGCGACACUGUGUGUUGUUGGGUA
rnacentral:rRNA from 1 species